UUUCAGCCAGGUUGGUAACGAAAGGGUUAAGCUUGUUUGGAAUCUAAAUUAACCUGAAAUUUUGAUGGAAGAUUUUUUAGACCAUUUUAAAACAGGAAAUUUGUAUCAUAGAACCAAGAAUGGUGUUGGUAUUAAAAAGGGCCAAUUUUUGACAACUAUUUUGUUGGUCAAAAUAUUUAGUUAUAUUUUAGAGUUUAGUUUUCAUUGUCUGUGUCUUUUCACUUAAAUGGAUGACAGGAAAUAACUAUUAAUAAUAAUAGUUCAUCAAUACAUAUGCAGAGAUAACUGUUCAUUGAAAAUUCUUUUUCUUGCAAAACAAAACAGGCUGGGCAAGAGUGCAAGAGCAUUUGGCUGUAGAAAUAUUGCCAUAAAUACUUGUCCAAGCCAUGCCAGCAUGGAUAGAUGAACAAAACCGUUCUGUUGUUAAAUUAAAUUUCAUGUUUCACUUUGUUUUC